AGGGCUUGGCCAGUAGUGGCGCGAUUUUCAAUUAAUGUUAUGUGACAAUGGCGGACUCAGGUGUAAUUAGUUCCGGACACGAAAACUCUGUAAAAUCUCUAUUUCAAUGCCUGUUUGAGAAGAGAACUUUGGCAGAAAAACUGAAGGUAAAAGAACUGGGUCCAGAUCAGCCUGACCUCUUAAUCAGACAGCAGACAAGCGAAAAGGGGUCGACGUACACGCGAAGCUACUCUUCACGUUGGUACACCAAAAAGGCCUGGCUAUGUGUGUGCGUUUCUGCUAAUGCCUUAUUUUGCUUUCCGUGCUUGCUGUUUAAAACAACUGGGGCAGAUACAGCAUGGACAGUUACGGGAGUGAGAGAUAUGAAGCACCUUUCUGAAAAAAUAAGAAAACAUGAGAACACCAGGGCACACAUGGAUAAUUCUGUCAAACUAGCCAUUUUGGGAAGAGUGAACAUCGCUACUCAGUUAGAUGACGGCCACAGGAUUGCGAUAAGAAAACACAAUGCGGAGGUGGAUAAAAACCGGCAUAUUUUAUCCAAGAUAAUUGAUUGUGUUAAGUUUUGUGGGGAUUUUGAGUUGGCCUUGCGUGGGCACGACGAAACUGACUCGUCAGACAACCCUGGUAUUUUUAGGGGUUUAGUGGAUUUUGUUGCCUCACUAGACAAUGUACUAGAGGAGCACCUUAAGACAGCAAUCGUUUUUAAGGGCACAUCGAAGACGGUACAAAAUGAACUGUUGGACUCCAUGCUAUCAGUAAUAAAGGAUUACAUUCUAGAGGAAGUAACUGCAGCUGAUUUUAUCGCCAUUCAAGCUGACGAGACGACUGACGUCUCCACCCGCUGUCAGCUGGUGCUUGUGCUACGUUACAUGGAUUCUAAUAAUAAUAUCCAAGAGCGUUUUUUUGAGUUCUUGACCAUUCAGAACGCAAACGCCGAGUCCAUCGCUACAGCACUUCUGGACAGGCUAAGUACCAUACUACCAAAUGGACAAAAUAACAAAGUAAUUGCCCAAACUUAUGACGGGGCUACUGUAAUGAGAGGAAGCACCGGCGGAGUGCAGCGAAAGAUAAUAGAUGUGUACAAAAAUGCUCACUACGUUCACUGUUAUGUGCAUCAGCUGAACCUCAUCAUACAGCAGGCGACAUCACACAUCCCCAGAAUUGGAACUUUUUUUUCUGACCUUGGUGGAUUUUCUGCCUUCUUCUCCAGGUCACAUAAGUGAAUCGCCGUGCUUGACCAAGUGGAUGCGCACAGACUUCCCAGAGCCUCUACAACACGUUGGAACUUUCAAAGUCGUGCUGUAAACACUGUGUACGAACAAAAGGAUGACCUUUUAAAAUGUUUUCAGAUCAUCAGAGACUCAGGGAACUUUGAUAACUCAACUGUCAGAGAGGCAGGGGGUUUUGCGAGGAUGCUUGAAGACGAGGCUUUCUGUUUUUUCCUUGCAUUGUUUCACAAGAUCAUGCCAAAUGUAGACAUGCUAUUCAACCAGCUGCAGAAGAGGAACAUCGACCCUGUCUACAUUAAAGCAGCUGUCCAGGGAUUCACAAACAACAUGCAAGCAAUCAGGGACUCAAUCCCCUUUCUCUGUGGGGACAGUGCAUCAUCUGACCAGCAGCACCAGCCCAAAAAGCAACAGAGGACACUGGGACCAGGAGAACAACAGAGGCUAGCUACAGAGGUAUGUGAUACCAUCCUGAUUCAUACCAAGGAGCGGUUCUCCUUUACCCAGCACCUCGUCAGUGCAACAUUGCUGCAUGGAGAAUUGUUUCCACAACACAGUGUGACGUUUCCGGAAUUUGAACUUGAAACAACAGUGGAGGCAUACCCCAUGCUGAACAAGGCCAAGCUCAAAACAGAACUGUCCCUCAUCUAUGAGAACCCUGAGUUUAGGGUUAGCAGUGGUGCCGUGCCUCUGUCAGUCUUCUCAAGAUCAUAAUCACCACGCCUAUGACAACAGCAGAGUCAGAGAGGUGCUUUUCUACUUUGAAGAGGAUCAAGACUUUCCUAAGAAAUACAAUGACCCAGGAUCGCCUUAAUGCUUUGGCAAUGCUUUCGAUUGAGAAGAAACUCGUCAGAGACAUUCCUGACUUCAAUAAGAAAGUCAUUGAGAAAUUUGUCAAUCAGAAGGAGAGGAGAGCAAAAUUCCUGUACAAAUAAGUAAAUGCAGGUUUUUUCACCACAUUGAUUUUCUUGUACGUGGUUAUCUUCAGAGUCAUGGAAGUAUCCAGAACUUAACUGCGACUUGUAAAUUAACUGUUCAGAGAUGCUUUAACGAAUAAACAUGUGACCAGAUGUUCUUAAA